UUCACGAGAUAUAAAUUUUGUUUUAUCAGUCUUAUUUGGAGUUUAAAAACCUAGUUAGGGUGCCCAUAAGCUAUUCAAGAUACCAUCUAUAUAAUAAAAGAAGGCAAAACGAAAGUUCAGAAUUUUGUUUCUUGAUUGCUUGUUGAAGUAGUGUCUUUGAGGCAUAACCAAACAUCACUUUGAAGAAAUAGUGUAUCCUGCAUCUAAGAUUUGUUAAAGAUGAGACCAAAGAUUUAUCUUUUUGGCGACUCCAUCACUGAAGUUUCCUUUGGUGAUGGUGUUUGGGCUGCCUCUCUCAGCAACCAUUUCUCUCGCACGGUUGAUGUGGUGCUGAAAGGGCAUAGCGGGUACAAUACCUGGUGGGCUCUUAAGGUGGCAGAGAGGAUAUUGCCGCCGGUGGGAAGUGGUGGUGCGCCGACUUUGGCUGUUACUGUGUUUUUUGGUGCUAACGAUGCUUGCCUUUCCGAUAGAUACGCUGCCUUUCUACACGUGCCUCUCCAUGAAUACAAGCAGAACCUUCACUCUCUCAUCUCAUUUUUCAAGGUAUAUCAU